AUACCUUUCUCGGCCUUUUGGCUAAGAUCAAGUGUAGUAUCUGUUCUUAUCAGUUUAAUAUUUGAUAUGUGGGCCAUCGGCUCACAUGAUAUUAACUCUAUUUUUUAAGGGAGAAAACCUGUUAAGAUAGCUUGCUAUCUGUGCUUUCACGAGUCGUCCAUGCGUUGCACUACUGCACGGGCCUGGCUCAACCCAC
rnacentral:snRNA from 1 species